GUUCUUUUAGUAUUAAUAAGUACAACUGACUUCCAAUCAGUUAGUUUUGGUCUAACCCAGAAAAGAAUA
rnacentral:tRNA from 1 species